UCUGCAGUCGAGCGACUGAUUAGAAGCUUGCUUCUAUGACGUUAGCGGCGGACGGGUGAGUAACACGUGGGCAACCUACCUGUAAGACUGGGAUAACUUCGGGAAACCGAAGCUAAUACCGGAUAGGAUCUUCUCCUUCAUGGGAGAUGAUUGAAAGAUGGUUUCGGCUAUCACUUACAGAUGGGCCCGCGGUGCAUUAGCUAGUUGGUGAGGUAACGGCUCACCAAGGCAACGAUGCAUAGCCGACCUGAGAGGGUGAUCGGCCACACUGGGACUGAGACACGGCCCAGACUCCUACGGGAGGCAGCAGUAGGGAAUCUUCCGCAAUGGACGAAAGUCUGACGGAGCAACGCCGCGUGAGUGAUGAAGGCUUUCGGGUCGUAAAACUCUGUUGUUAGGGAAGAACAAGUACGAGAGUAACUGCUCGUACCUUGACGGUACCUAACCAGAAAGCCACGGCUAACUACGUGCCAGCAGCCGCGGUAAUACGUAGGUGGCAAGCGUUAUCCGGAAUUAUUGGGCGUAAAGCGCGCGCAGGCGGUUUCUUAAGUCUGAUGUGAAAGCCCACGGCUCAACCGUGGAGGGUCAUUGGAAACUGGGGAACUUGAGUGCAGAAGAGAAAAGCGGAAUUCCACGUGUAGCGGUGAAAUGCGUAGAGAUGUGGAGGAACACCAGUGGCGAAGGCGGCUUUUUGGUCUGUAACUGACGCUGAGCGCGAAAGCGUGGGGAGCAACAGGAUUAGAUACCCUGGUAGUCCACGCCGUAAACGAUGAGUGCUAAGUGUUAGAGGUUUCCGCCCUUUAGUGCUGCAGCUAACGCAUUAAGCACUCCGCCUGGGGAGUACGGUCGCAAGACUGA
rnacentral:rRNA from 1 species